rnacentral:rRNA from 1 species
GAUAAGGUUAAGUGAAUAAGGGCGCACGGUGGAUGCCUUGGCACUAGGAGCCGAUGAAGGACGGGACUAACACCGAUAUGCUUUGGGGAGCUGUACGUAAGCUAUGAUCCAGAGAUUUCCGAAUGGGGGAACCCAACAUCUUUAAUAGGAUGUGUGAAUACAUAGCACAUUCGAGGUAGACGCAGAGAACUGAAACAUCUAAGUACCUGCAGGAAGAGAAAGAAAAUUCGAUUCCCUGAGUAGCGGCGAGCGAAACGGGAAAAGCCCAAACCAGCAAGCUUGCUUGUUGGGGUUGUAGGACUCCAAUAUGGUAGUUCUUUCAGAUAGUCGAAUGACUUGGAAAAGUCAGUCAAAGAGGGUAAAAACCCCGUAGACGAAAUGUGGAAGACACCUAGGAGGAUCCUGAGUACGGCGGAACACGAGAAAUUCCGUCGGAAUCCGGGAGGAC